GACGAACGCUGGCGGCGUGCCUAAUACAUGCCAGUCGAACGCUUCUUUCCUCCCGAGUGCUUGCACUCAAUUGGAAAGAGGAGCGGCGGACGGGUGAGUAACACGUGGGUAACCUACCCAUCAGAGGGGGAUAACACUUGGAAACAGGUGCUAAUACCGCAUAACAGUUUAUGCCGCAUGGCAUAAGAGUGAAAGGCGCUUUCGGGUGUCGUUGAUGGAUGGACCCGCGGUGCAUUAGCUAGUUGGUGAGGUAACGGCUCACCAAGGCCACGAUGCAUAGCCGACCUGAGAGGGUGAUCGGCCACACUGGGACUGAGACACGGCCCAGACUCCUACGGGAGGCAGCAGUAGGGAAUCUUCGGCAAUGGACGAAAGUCUGACCGAGCAACGCCGCGUGAGUGAAGAAGGUUUUCGGAUCGUAAAACUCUGUUGUUAGAGAAGAACAAGGACGUUAGUAACUGAACGUCCCCUGACGGUAUCUAACCAGAAAGCCACGGCUAACUACGUG
rnacentral:rRNA from 1 species